AUGUGCCUGGCUCCCUGUAUGCCAUUUUCAGAGCCCAUCGGUAUCUCCAUGGCCUCCGUGGAUGGCGUAUGAGGAGCCAAGCAUAU
rnacentral:pre_miRNA from 2 species